AUUCCUUUGGAGCCGUUCUUUCGCGUUGGCUUGGACUUAUUUGGCCUUUUCCCUUUAUCCACAUCUGGAAACAAGUGGGUCGCUGUGGCGACAGAUUACGCCACGUGCUAUGCCAUCACCAGAGUGCUUCCAACAAGCUGCGCCACAGAUGUCGCCGAUAUUCUUUUAUGCGACAUAAUUUUGCAGCAUGAUGCUCCACACCAACUGCUCACUGACCGUGGUCGAACAUUUCUUUGUAAAGUCAUCGCCGACAUCCUGCAGUCCUGCUCAACCAAGCACAAGCUGACUGCGUCUUACCAUCCACAGACUAAUGGUCUCACGGAGCGUCUGAAUCGCACCCUAACAGACAUGCUUGCAAAGUAUGUCUCAUCCGACCAUACUGAUUGGGACUUCGCCCUACCCUAUGUCACUUUUGCAUAUGAUUCUUCGUGUCACGACACUGCCACUUAUUCCCCGUUCUUUCUGUUGUUUGGCCGAGAACCCACACUGCCACUGGACGCAUCCCUUCCAUCUGCCGCAGAAGAGACCAGCGAGUAUGCACUUGAUGCCAUCACCAGGGCAGCCCAAGCACACGAAAUUGCCCGCGCUCGCCUCCUGACCUCGCAAGAGAAGCAACAGCGUUAGUAUCAUAGCCAACACAGAGGCGUCCGCUUUUCGCCUGGAUCUCUGGUACUCCUGUGAUCCCCGAUUUGUCACAUUGGCCUAUCAGAAAAACUCCUGUCUCGGUAUAGACGAGGCAACCUAAAGUUUGCCCGCGCGGCACCAGCGCCGAAUGCUCCCCUAGCGGACCGAUGGAAGUUUGGAGGGUCGUCGCUGCGCUAGCGCGCGCCUGUGUUCUGUACGGCGGGAGCGCUCGUGCGCGUGGUUUUUGCGACGCCGAGUGCGACCUCAUCAGCCAGGAAAGGUGGCACGCAAUACUGAUGUGUUGUUGAUUGCCACAUCAGCCUCUAAAACACGAAAGGUCCUACGCCGCCCGUGAAGUUCUACAGAUUUCCUGGGAAGUGGUACGAGAAGGACAGACGACAAGCAUAGAUAACUGCAGUGCGCCGAGUCAAAUGGAAGCGGCGCCAAACAGACCAAUGGCAAUCACAACAGUCUUCUCAGCAGUCAGCACCACCGGGACAUGUGCUUUCCUACUGCAGCGACGCAGCUCUUGAGCAGCGGCAAGACACGUGUGAAACAGACUCCAGAACAAGCCUUUGUGAAGUGACGGAACCGUCAAGAAGCAGCCCAAUGGAUCUGCAGUCAUCGAGUAGUAUGACAACAGAAGUUCCUGCUGCCAGUGUGACUUAUGUUGUAAUUGAAAUAAAUGUGGCUAAAUUUCUGAA